CCUGAAGUUGAGGAUAUUCUUUUUCAUGCCCACAGAUUUGGGAUUGCAAGAGCAUCGACUUGAUGGAGAGGAGUAUCUUGAAGUAAUUGAUGAAUUUAUGGAGGCUGUUUAUACUCGUUGGCCCCAUGUGAUUGUGCAGUUUGAAGAUUUUCAAG